rnacentral:rRNA from 1 species
GUAGUCAUAUGCUUGUCUCAAAGAUUAAGCCAGGCAUGUCUAAGUAUAAGCAAUUAUACCGUGAAACUGCGAAUGGCUCAUUAAAUCAGUUAUCGUUUAUUUGAUAGUGCCUUACUACUUGGAUAACCGUGGUAAUUCUAGAGCUAAUACAUGCUGAAAACCCCAACUUCGGAAGGGGUGUACUUAUUAGAUAAAAAACCAAUGCCCUUCGGGGCUCCUUGGUGAUUCAUAAUAACUUCUCAGAUCGCAUGGCCUUGCGCCGGCGACGGUUCAUUCAAAUUUCUGCCCUAUCAACUUUCGAUGGUAAGGUAUUGGCUUACCAUGGUUUCAACGGGUAACGGGGAAUUAGGGUUCGAUUCCGGAGAGGGAGCCUGAGAAACGGCUACCACAUCCAAGGAGGGCAGCAGGCGCGCAAAUUACCCAAUCCCGACACGGGGAGGUAGUGACAAUAAAUACUGAUACAGGGCUCUUUAGGGUCCUGUAAUUGGAAUGAGUACAAUUUACAUCCCUUAACGAGGAACAAUUGGAGGGCAAGUCUGGUGCCAGCAGCC